UACGGAGGAUGCGAGCGUUAUCCGGAUUUAUUGGGUUUAAAGGGUGCGCAGGCGGUCUGUUAAGUCAGCGGUCAAAGCCCGGGGCUCAACCCCGUCGUGCCGUUGAAACUGGCGUUCUUGAGUGAGCGAGAAGUAUGCGGAAUGCGUGGUGUAGCGGUGAAAUGCAUAGAUAUCACGCAGAACUCCGAUUGCGAAGGCAGCAUGCCGGCUCCACACUGACGCUGAGGCACGAAAGCGUGGGUAUCGAACAGG
rnacentral:rRNA from 1 species